rnacentral:lncRNA from 1 species
CUGGUUGGAGCUGUCUUCAGAGCUCUAUUAUGGAGCCCCAGCCCUGGGCAGGAAAGCUCAUUAGCAGACGUGAUAGAUGUGAGCACAUGACUGCCGAGUCGUGUCCCGUGUCCCUGUUGAACUGGAACUCCUGCUCCUUCUCCAUUAGCAGCGGUGUCUGCAUGCUCAGCCAUCCCUCUGGACCCUUCUGAAUUCUCCCAGGGCUCUGAAUGCAGUCUUUUUUAUGCAAGGGUCUUGGACACGUCCGGGUGUGUGCGGCGCAAGCCUACAAACUCUCUCACCUCUACCAGAGAUAAUAAGGUCUUUUAUACCCUAGAGCCUGGGCAGGCCAUAAGGACAAAGGGUGCCCGGGACACAAGCAGGUAGUUUGGAAGUUUGGUGUAAAUUUAGAAGCAACUUCUACCUUCUCUUUCACCUGCGUGCCAUUGGGCUUGGCCAUGCGUGGCCCACGGUUGGCACAAAUAUUUGGAAUCUGUGAGUAAAGAAGCUGGAAGUGGGCUCAGAAAAUGCUGCCCAGGCCCAUGUAACAGAUGCCGGAGGAAACACAUGUGAGCUCACACACACAGGUUGCUGGAGUGAGAGGCUGAAGAGGGUAGGGGUGGGAUAAGGGACUGGAGUGCUCAAAGGCUGCAGAUCUUCCCUCUGGGCCUUGGGGUGGGGGGUGGGAUGGGAGGGAAUCUCCCUAAGGGCUCUGAGCUAGAGCAGGACUGGUCCCCUCUUCCCUGCUCCAGCUCCAGAGCUGCCAGCACC